rnacentral:rRNA from 1 species
GACGAACGCUGGCGGCGUGCCUAAUACAUGCAAGUAGGACGCACAGUUUAUACCGUAGCUUGCUACACCAUAGACUGUGAGUUGCGAACGGGUGAGUAACGCAUAGGUAACCUGCCUGGUAGCGGGGGAUAACUAUUGGAAACGAUAGCUAAUACCGCAUAAUAUUAAUUAUUGCAUGAUAAUUGAUUGAAAGGUGCAAUUGCACCACUACCAGAUGGACCUGCGUUGUAUUAGCUAGUAGGUGAGGUAACGGCUCACCUAGGCGACGAUACAUAGCCGACCUGAGAGGGUGAUCGGCCACACUGGGACUGAGACACGGCCCAGACUCCUACGGGAGGCAGCAGUAGGGAAUCUUCGGCAAUGGGGGGAACCCUGACCGAGCAACGCCGCGUGAGUGAAGAAGGUUUUCGGAUCGUAAAGCUCUGUUGUUAAGGAAGAACGAGUGUGAGAAUGGAAAGUUCAUACUGUGACGGACUAACCAGAAAGGACG